rnacentral:lncRNA from 1 species
CGGAGGAGCAAGCGCGGUCAAUUUUGUUGUUUAAGCUGCGAAAACAAAGUUACAGACUAACUGCUUUGAUUUGGUUUUCAGCGAAAUGACAGAUAGCCAGAAAGAAAGCGGCGGGUCCAAGGCGAGGAGCUGGGGACUUUUAUCCAUUCUUCUUUAACGUUACUGUUACUGAGCCUUAGCUCCAGCUCCCGGAGGCUGGGCUCGAUCUUUGAGGAGCUCGUGAGCUGCUGCAACUUAGUGGAGAAUUUCCAUGCCACGUCAAUUUACAGCCAGCCAGCCCCCGACCAGAGUUCUGCGGCUCAGGGCACCGACGGGCUUUGUCUCACCCAGUUGGCUGAAUGGAAAAGAGGUGUCCAGAAACGGAAUUAAAGACAAAAGUGCAACUCUGGUGUGAUUAUCUACGGAUAGAAGAUAAAGUCAGUCAAAGUGAUGCGGUUCUUUCUGUUUCUUCUGAAUGGACUGUUGUGCUGUUAUACAGUAGCAAUGGAAUCUUUGCUGGUCACUGGCACCAAUUACGGUAUUGGAGAGUUGUUUAUUAAGUAUCCACUACCUUUAUCAAGUGCCUGCCACUUCCAGGUACUUAAAAAGCACUGGAUACAAAAGAUGACUCAACAGGAACAUAUGGGACGAUAUCCUGGAUGGUUUCGAGGAUCAACUAGAACACACAGACUGACUACGCCGUGGACGUUUGUUUCACCUUCUGUAGUUCCUGUAGAGAACGCCAUCAGUCUAUCUUCUAAAUCAUCCCAAAAAGCAUAUCCAACUCACCACAAGUCUUUACACACCAUGCAGAAGUCAAAAGGAAUGAACAAUAUGGUUGAAUCUUAGGAAGAAAAUGUUGAAUUAGAAAGUGACAACUGCCCUGCUCUUCUGCUACCUGCUGAGAAGCUGAACCCGUUUUCCUGAGAAUUUCCGGAAUAAGCGGCCAGCCUGGCCACCGAGUGCUGACGAAAUGGCUCCAGGCACCAAGUGUGGAGCCGGCAGACUAGUGCUAACAACUUGGCAACAAUACAUCAAGAAGCCUGGCGGGGGUGGGUGGGGGGGGUGGGGGGGCGAUGGGCCUUCCCCCUUAUAAGCACGGUCUCUUAAUAAACUCGUGGGCCUUGAUCAGGA